rnacentral:lncRNA from 1 species
CCACUUUUGUGCACCAUAUGGAUGGAUAAAGCUGAUUAGUUAACCAUUCAAAUUCAAAGCGUGUUUGAAUUUGAAUGGAUAACUUAUCUCUUUUGCCUUCAAGCUUAUCCAUCUCGUACGCCACAUAAUUCACACAAGAAAGAGUUUCUCGUGAAACCUUUCCACGCACAAAGAGUCCAUGCCCUUUUCUUCUCACGCCAUAAGUGGAUAGGGAUGAGUUGGUUUUCAUUUGAAUUCAAAUUUGAUUUGAAUUCAAAUAUAUAACCACUUGUCUUUAUCCUCUCACGCGGAUAAGACACGUUUUAAACUGUUUUAAAAAAGAUAGGGAGGUGGGGCGUGCGUAAAAAAAAAAUUCUGAGAAAGAGAGUGGGGCAU